rnacentral:ncRNA from 1 species
UCCCCGCUCCAAUGGCCUAGCGGUGAAAGGCGUCCAGGUGGUCAAGCGGCUACUCCGCAAAGCACAAUCAACAAAAGAGGAUCGCUGGCUCGGCUUCCUGAGCUACCUUACGGCUCGCUCGAAGGCGGUCGCUCUCCAUCAGAGCUUUUGAUGGGUCGUGGUAUUCGAACCUUGGUUCCAGACUUUUUUUUUGAUCCAGCACCGCCUGCUCAAAAGCGCAACGAGAACCUCGAAAAAGGACGACAUCUAGAGCCGCUGCGGCCAGGAGACACCGUCCGCACCCUAAACGAUGGAAAAUGGGCUACGAAAGCAACCGUUGAGUCCUAAGUCGCCCCUAUAUUGUACAGCGUCGUCACAGAAAAUGGAAGGACGUUCCGUCGCAACAGGCAACAUCUGAAAGUUGAUGAAGAAUAAGAUUCAAGGACUAAACAAGAAAACGACCACUCGGAAUCGGAAGACGAUGGGAGAACGGAGUCGCCUGCACCAGACAGUACAGAUGAAGAGACAGAAGGCCAGGAAGCCCCGCAAGCUCAGACGUAUCAGGGGCCCUCAUCACGCCGAUCUGGCAGAAGCAGACAACCUCCACGGAGACUAAGUUGUGACGGGUCGUUCCAGCAAAUGCCGUAGCUUUUUCUUCUCUUUUUUUCUCUCUUUCUGUCUUUUGUUCCUGUGUUUUUUAUUAUCUAGCGCGUUUGUGUGAUCUUAAUUUUACGUUUUUUUUUAAAUGAAGAGAAAAAGGAUGUACCACGAGGAUAGCCUCGCAGUGUGGGAAUAAAAGACGACGACGAGUCAGUGGCUCCUAUCUCAUCUUGGCGUACAGUCCAUGCUCAGUAGGCGCUCAUAAUAGAGCGAUACAUACUCUUUGAUAACUACCGGAGGAAUUUUAAUUAUCUCAGUGGCGGAAUGGUCACUCCGUCGUAGUGAUCACAGGUUUAGUAAUAACAAGGAUUAGUUCUAUUUUGUGUUUAAAUCAGCGUUUGAAAUCGGCACCUCGGCCAAAAAUGGCAGCGAAGUCAACAAUGAUUCCAAACGCUAAUUUCAUGAAACCAAUUAAGCUGUUUUGAAAGUUAGGAUGCCACAAUUAUUGCUAUAAUCUUGUUGGUCUAACCGGUAAGUUCUUUUGACGUAUGUGAAAAAGGCAAUAAAAAACUGAAACAAUACAAGCUUACGCGGAGUUGACUUUGUCGGAUCCUCGUCUUCUUCCAGUAGAUAGGAACAGUAUGAAUCUUGUUAAUCUAUUCAUGCGCGUCACUAAUUAGACGACGAGGCAUUUGGCCUUUUUUUGUACUCCAGUGGCACCGGGGACCGCAGGGCACUGAAGACCAAGCAGCCCCCGACCUGGGAGCGAUUUGCUAUGGGUACCAGAACUUCUAAACAAAAACCCUCUUUCACCCAUAAAAAAAGUCUUAGGUCUUAGAUUUGUGUAAAAGAAACAAAAAAAAACUUGUGUAAAAAACGAAAAAAAACGGGGAAAGUCCUAGAUCCUAAAGGACUUGGAGGGCGCAAAUAGCUUUGGCAAACCCCGCUCCUUAUCGGAGCGCUGGGGACGCCCUUCGGCCACGCAAUGCCCUGGAACACACUUAUCCUCUUUAAGAUGGUGGGGAAGAGGGACCCUUUAAAGUCCUAUAGUCUGGGACUACAGGCCGUGAGACGCCCUUCAUCUGGUAUCAGAAAAGAAAAGGUGUUCAGAGGUGUCAGAAAAGUUACCACAGGGAUAACUGGCUUGUGGCGGCCAAGCGUUCAGAGCGACAUCGCUUUUUGAUCCUUCGAUGUCGGCUCUUCGUACCAUUGGAAAGCAGAAUUCGCUAAACGUUGGAUUGUUCUCCCACUAAUAGGGAACGGAAGCUUGUCUUAGGCCGUCGUGAGACAGGUUAGUGUUACCCUACUGAUGACUGGUCAUUGUGAUAGUAAUCCUGCUCAGUACGAGCGGAACCGCAGGUUCGGACACUUGGUUCAUGUGCUUGGUUGAAAGACCAGUGGUGCGAAGCUACCAUCCCUGGGAUUACGACUAAACGCCUCUAAGUCAGAAUUCCGUCUAAGCAGAGCAAUGAUAUCGUGCGCACUUGCUGCGUUUACAGGUGAAGUUAGAGUUUCUCGGGUCGAUCGCGGCGGGAUGCCGCGAUUCCCGGCUCGACGACGCCGCAUUAGUCGUUCGCCGAAGUAACGGUGCGAGCCACGCUCCCAUGCACUCGUUUUGGGUGUGAACCGCUGCGGUGUCAAAUCGUCUGUAGACGACUUAGGUACCUGUCGUGGGAUCGUAAUUAGUAGAGGAGCCAUCGCACUGCGAUCUAUUGAGCCUCAGCCUCCACUAUCUCAAAAAGAUGGAU